CCUACUCAUAAAAUCUUCAAUAGUGCAUGGAGAUGUGAUAACCACCGCCAUCUCGUCACCAAUGCCGUCUCGUCAUAGCCGUCAUCAUCAUCGCUCUAUGGAAACUUAGAGAAUCGAGUAGCAGUCUUGGACAGUGAAUUUAUCAAUCUUUUCCAGCCUUAUGGUACCACUUCAAGCGAAUUAGGGUUCCUAGACAUGAUCAGAAGAAUCAUAAAAAAUGCUGGAAUGUUUAUGGAUACUGAAAAAAAGGGAAGUGCAAUGAGAACCCUUGUAGAUUCG
rnacentral:lncRNA from 1 species